rnacentral:rRNA from 1 species
CACGUAGUUAGCCGGCGCUUUUUCUGCAGGUACCGUCACUUUCGCUUCUUCCCUGCUAAAGGAGGUUUACAACCCGAAGGCCGUCAUCCCUCACGCGGCGUUGCUGCAUCAGGCUUCCGCCCAUUGUGCAAUAUUCCCCACUGCUGCCUCCCGUAGGAGUCUGGGCCGUGUCUCAGUCCCAGUGUGGCCGGUCACCCUCUCAGGCCGGCUACCCGUCGACGCCUUGGUGAGCCAUUACCCUCACCAACAAGCCUGAUAGGCCGCGAGCCCAUCCCCAACCGAAAUUCUUUCCAGACGCAGACCAUGCGGUCACGUCACAUAUCCAGUAUUAGACGCCGUUUCCAGCGCUUAUCCCAGAGUCAGGGGCAGGUUGCUCACGUGUUACUCACCCGUUCGCCACUGAUCCACAGAGCAAGCUCUGCCUUCACCGUUCGACUUGCAUGUGUUAAGCACGCCGCCAGCCGUUCAUCCUGACGCCAGGAUCCAAACUCUAC